ensembl:lncRNA
UAUACUGGUUUAAGUACUAUACUAGUUUAAAGGCUAUUCUCGUCACUAGUUGGUCUGUACUGGUUUAAAGACUAUACUGGUCACAAGCUAUUCUGGUCACUAGUUGGUCUGUACUGGUUUAAAGACUAUUCUCGUCACUAUUUGGUCUAUACUAGUUUAAAGACUAAUCUGGUCACUAGUUGGUCUAUACCGGUUUAUUCUUUGCCAUUGUAAUGAAAAUGUUGUGCGACAAUCCAUCUGUUUUGUCAUCUUGUGGGAC